rnacentral:rRNA from 1 species
GAUGAACGCUGGCGGUGUGCCUAAUACAUGCAAGUCGUACGCAUUCUCGUUUCUGAUUGACGGUGCUUGCACCUAAUUGACGAGACAUUGGAAUGAGUGGCGGACGGGUGAGUAACACGUGGGUAACCUGCCCAGAAGCGGGGGAUAACAUUUGGAAACAGAUGCUAAUACCGCAUAACCGUCAAAACCACAUGGUUUUGAUUUAAAAGAUGGCCUUUGUGCGAUCACUUCUGGAUGGACCCGCGGCGUAUUAGCUAGUUGGUAAGGUAAUGGCUUACCAAGGCAAUGAUACGUAGCCGAACUGAGAGGUUGAUCGGCCACAAUGGGACUGAGACACGGCCCAUACUCCUACGGGAGGCAGCAGUAGGGAAUCUUCCACAAUGGGCGCAAGCCUGAUGGAGCAACACCGCGUGAGUGAAGAAGGGUUUCGGCUCGUAAAACUCUGUUGUUAAAGAAGAACGUAUCUAAGAGUAACUGCUUAGGUAGUGACGGUAUUUAACCAGAAAGCCACGGCUAACUACGUGCCAGCCGCCGCAGUAA